rnacentral:rRNA from 1 species
UAAAGUUACAUAAGAGUACAUAACGGAUCCCUUGACUAGUAUACCCGAUGAAGGACGUUGUAAGGUGCGAUAAGCUUCGACGAGCCCCUAAACAGGCUUUGACUCGGAGAUUUCCGAAUGGGGAAACCCACUUCAUUUAUGAAGUACUCUAUGCCCAAGUAAAUUAAGUAUAGAGAGGUAGGUCGGCGAACUGAAAUAUCUAAGUAGCCGGAGAAAAGAAAUCAAUAGAGAUUCCCUUAGUAGCGACGAGCGAAGAGGGACUAGCCCAAACCACUUUAGGUGGGGUUGUAGGACUCCAAUGUCUAAUGUUUAUAUAUAGAAGAAAACACUGGAAAGUGUUGCCACAGAAGGUGAUAGCCCUGUAUUUGAAAUAUAUUUAUGUUGGUAGGAGUAUCCUGAGUAGGUUCGGACACGUGAAAUCCGGAUUGAAUCUGGGAGGACCACCUUCCAAGGCUAAAAAGUAUACUAGAUCGAUAGCGAAUAGUACCGUGAGGGAAUGGUGAAAAGAACCCCGGGUAGGGGAGUGAAAUAGACGUGAAAUUAUGUACUUAUAAGGAGUGGGAGCCUUCGGGUGACCGCGUGCCUUUUGUAGAAUGAGCCAACGAGUUAGUCGUAUAAGGUGGGUUAAGGCAGUUACAGCCGGAGCCACAGCGAAAGCGAGUCCGAUAAGGGCGUUGAUCUUAUGCGCUAGACCCGAAACCAGGCGAGCUUACCGUGGGCAGGCUGAAGGUACGGUAAAACGUACUGAAGGGCCGAACCAUCGGAUGCAGCAAAAUCCUUGGAUGACCUGCGGUAAGAGUUGAAAUUACCAUCGAGCCUGGAGAUAGCUGGUUCUCUCCGAAAUAUAUUUAGGUAUAGCCUCCAGUUACUAGCAUGGGGGGUAGAGCACUGUUUGGGGACGGGCGGGAAAUAACUGUACCAACUCCUAGCAAACUUCGAAUACCCAUGUGACUGUCUGGGGAGUCAGUCGGCGACAGCGAAGUGCCGUCGACGCGAGGGAAAGAGCCCAGAUCACCGUCUAAGGUCCCUAAUAUAAUCUCAGUGGUAAAGGAGGUAUGAUUGUUUAAACAGCCAGGAGGUUGGCUUAGAAGCAGCCACCCUUUAAAGAGUGCGUAAUAGCUCACUGGUCGAACGAUUGUGCGCCGAAAAUCUAACGGGGCUUAAGAUUAUAACCGAAGACGUGAGUGGCCCAAUAGGGUCGCGGUAGGAGAGCGUUCUGGGAGCGCUGAAGGCAGGCUGAAAAGUUUACUGCUGGAGCGACCAGAAGUGAGAAUGUUGGCAUGAGUAACUUUAUGCAGGUGAAAACCCUGCACGUCGAACACCCAAGGGUUCCGAUCCACUGGCAAUCAGGGUCGGGUUAGCCGGGCCUAAGGCGAGGCCGAAAGGCGUAGUCGAUGGACAACAGGUUAAUAUUCCUGUGCCAUCUUAUGAUGUGAUGGGGGGACUUAUUCGGAAAUAUUUUGCUUCCAGUUAAUGAAUUCUGGGGCAAGCAAUUAGCUUAUGCUUCUACAGGAAAAUCCGUAGAGGUUCGCGAGUUGUGAUGCGCAUAUGCAUUGACUUCGGUCUUUGAUAAAGCAAUGAUUCGAGUGACAAGAAAAUCCUCUAAACUUAUGAUUAAGAUGACCGUACCAAAACUAACACUAGUGGGUGGGUUGAGUAUACUAAGACGAACGAGAUAACUGAGCUUAAGGAACUCGGCAAUACAGCGUCCGUAACUUCGGGAUAAGGACUGCCUACAUUUUGUAGGCCGCAGCGAAAGGUGCCAUGCAACUGUUUAUCAAAAACACAGGUCCGUGCUAACUCGCAAGAGGAUGUAUACGGGCUGACCCCUGGCCAGUGCCAGAAGGUUAAGUGGAGGGGUGAGAGCUCCAAAAUGAAGCCCUGGUGAACGCCGGCCGUAACUAUAACGGUCCUAAGGUAGCGAAAUUCCUUGUCGGGUAAGUUCCGACCCGCACGAACGGGGUAAUGAUGUGGCAACUGUCU